UCCUACCUUUUUAUUUUCAGAUUAUAUACAUGGACCAUCUCGACUUUCCUGAAUCAUCUAUUUUGACACAUCACAUAAAGUACUCACUCCCUAGAGCAUCCCACGUAACAGAUGAGGACUUCAAAUUUGUCAUGCUACAUGAUAAAAGCAGAUUGACCCUCAACGCACAUAUUUAUGGUGCGCGACCGUUCCGUGCACCCGAAAGCACACCAUAUGCCAUCCAACGGUCAAACUACGAUGACCAACCUGCUACACACCCAUAUAUACAACAAACAGAAAACAAUUGUACCAACCAUCCACCACAGACCGAAGAAAAUCAGGACAUGCAUCACGAGGCCCCUAGAUUUCCUAUCAAGC